rnacentral:lncRNA from 1 species
AGAGAGAGAGAGAGACUGUCACCACCAGCUCAUGCAUACCUGAGGGCUGAUGUAACUGGGCUCACAUACUUCUGGAAAAGAUGAGGCAAGGGCUGCCAGAGCUCCCUAGUGUAGGGCAGCUGUCCUGGGCACCAUGCCAGCCUGGCAUCAGAAAACAGCACCUUUAUUAUUUAAAUUAUUUUUUCUAGCUGCCAAAGAGCCUCCCUGGUAUAUCUUUCUCCCUUCCUUCCGGUCUUGGCUCAUUACUGAGGACCUGCUAAGUGCACCCCUCUGUCUCAGGGCUGGAGGAAGAGAUGGUCAAGGCCAGAGUCCUUGGCUUUGGGAAAGUUCGAUUGGGUUCAAGACAUCUUGGCUGCUCACUUCUCUUGCGACCUUGGGCUGGUUACUUGAUUUUGUCCUCAUUUGUAAAUUGUGGAUGAAAAGCCAGGUUGUGGGAAGGUCAUCCUAGGCAGAGCCCUGGGUGGCUGCAGUACAGGGUGCUCAUAGCCGAGACAGCCCGCUUCGGGGCCCAGGGCUGUGAGAACACUUCUCUGUCGCCUCGGUCUCCAGUUUCCCAUUCCUUCUUCCUCACUUCUCCGGCUCCUUUGGCCUCUUUCAUAUUCAACAGGAAGGAGAAUGAGAAGAAAACAUUUGACCCCAUGGAGUCUCCGUGGGACAGUAGAAGGUUCACCAGCUGGUGCUUUUCCUGCCUUCGCCAUGCAUCCACUUCCAGGGCAUCGCUCGCUCUCUGGUCUAGCCUCUUCCUUCCUGGUCUGAUGGCCUGGUGACCUGGUAGCUUGGUAGCUGUUUCUGUGUGUCCUCCCUGGACCUGACAUACCACCCUUAAGCAGAGAGAGGCAUGUCUCCUGGAGAUGGUCAGAGAUGGAGGGGUCUGUGCCCCCACUGGGACCAUCAGAAGUCCUGAAGGGUUCUUGCUUGCCAAAUUGCAUUGCCACCCUGGGCCUCUGCCCCCCAUCCAGACCUCUUUCCCACAUGUGGCUCAAUAGGACACAUAACCUCGGACUCUGCACCAAGUCUCUGAUUCAUCCGGAUCCUGGAUCCCAGGUUCUGCUGCUGGGUGGGUUGGUGAGGGACUUCUGGGUGACUGGGUAUCUGCCACAGUAUCUGUCUCCACUUCUGCCACUUGCUGCCCUACCCCACUCAACAGCCACUUGCAGGGCCAUCCCAGCUUCCCACCAUCUUUGCCCUGGCCUGGUAUCCAAAUGGCAUGUGGUCAGACAUAGCACCUUGUUCUUCCCUCCCCUGCUCACCCCUGCAUGCUCCGUGGGGGGAAGGAGGGGGCAGGUAAAGGCAUCUGGGCUCUGCCAAGGCCACAAUAGCUGUGGAUGUGUCAGGAAUGUCCCAAAUAUUCCUUUGGUCCUCACUACAACCACCACUUGAGGUAGAUGCUUGAAUUCAUCACCCCUCCCUGCCACCAUUUUCUAAGGAGAAGCUGGGUGGGGUUAGGUGCCUGGUUCCAGGGCACACAUUUUGUCAGUGAUGGGUUUGGAUGCAGAGAUGUCUGGAUUAGGGGCUCUUUCCCUUACCUUAGCUUCUAAGUUCUGGGACCCCAGAAAAGGCAGGGGAUAGAGAAGAGAGUUGGCUUGUUCUCAGCAUCCAGCCUGAGUCAGGGUAGUCCCCUGCCUAAUUCUCCUUCAGCUGGAUGCCUAGCUCUCGGAAGUGUCUCUGUGCAGCUUAAAUCUCCUAUUUCUUUCUGACUUCCAUCGGCCUCAGUCAGCUCCCGAGCAUUGAGAAGUCAUAGUUCAUUGCCAAGCCCCUAGCUUUUAGGCUGGCCUUUUGGGACUUGUCUCUGGGGACCAAGCACCAUAUGGCUUUUCCUGGGGGUGUGUGUCCUCAUCGCUGUGAAAGAAUGGAGGACAUGGGGCAGAGAAGAAGCAGCAGGUGGGUCCCCGCAUCUCUGUCCCAGCUGUGCAUGUCCUCCCAUUCCAUAGGAGGGAUCUUCAACUGUCUCACCUCUGGCUGCCAAACAGGAACAGCAGCAGAAAAUCCCCAAACAAACAAAACUCCAUGGAACUGCCUAGCCCUGCCUCCUUCUCCCUUUCCUUGCUCAUCCCGUACCCCCCUUUCCUCCCCUAUCUCCACCCAUGCCUCCCUCUGCUACUUGGGGUUCAUCUGAUCUAGGCCACUGUCUCUACCACAGUCAGUGGGGAUCUCCAUCCUCACUGACGAUCUGAGAUGGCCCUUUUCUGGCCUUUGUAAGAAGCCUGACCACCUGGGGGUUCAGCAGAAAUCCUGGGGGAGCUGGAUUCUGGCUGCAGGCAGCUCAUACCUUCUGAUACUCUGGUAGCCUGUCCUGGUUUGUUCUUGCGUGGUUCAGGGACAGGAAUCUUACUCUCCAUCCCCACCAGUUUAUACCUUUGACCCUGUUCAAAGUGGUGGCAAUUCCUGUAAGUGGUGGCAAUUCACAAUCCUGCUCAUUCAGGAGGCAGAGAGAGAGGACAGAGGAGAGUCAAGGGCUGUUCAGAGGCAAGGGAUCUGGAGAAGGCUUGCCCUCCCAGAAGCCUCUGGGGCUUGCUCCUCUAGCAAGAGGGGGCUUUCCAAUUUUUUCUCCUUCUUCCAUUUUCUCUGCAUGGCUCCCUCCUGACCUCUGAUUGUCUCUCUCUUUCUCCUCUGUCUCUCCUUCCUGCAUUUUCUGUUGUCUAGCACUGACUUUCUCUUGUCUCCUGAAGCUUAGAGUCCUGGCUCCUUUGUCUCUCAUCCCUGGGGAAAGAGAGGUGUUUGGAUUUGUCUCUCCAUGGCCCGGCUGACUGGCCCUGUGGAAUGGCAUCCCUGUGUCAUAGUUUCAGUGCCUUCUCUUUGCCCUGCUCCCCAUUUGGCCCGAGGCCUGGCCUGUGGAGCGUGGGCCUCAUAACGCAGGACAGUGAGACAUAUUUGCUGCAUGAAUGUUCUAGUGAGCACACGCCAGCCAGGCCCAGGCUCUUGGGCGGCAUGCAAUUCGUGGGGCAGGGGAGCCAGGAAAGAGUUUGGCAUCUGCAGGAGAAAAAUCUUAGCCUCACUCUAGUGCAGGAUGGGAAGGAGGGCCUCUCCAGGAAGCUUUCCUGGGUGAGCCUGCCCAGGUUCCUGUCCAUCUCUCAUUCUCUCUUGAGUGUGUAUUGUCCACACCUUGAUUAUUAGCUGGGUCAGUGCCCUCUCCCUGAUGAAGCUGGAAAUGCCCAGCCUCCUUUCUCUGGAUCUUCCCUGUGAGCAGGGCCAUUAGGAAACUGCAGGAAGGACGUCCUGCCCAGGGGCCAAAUCCUGGGAAUGGGGCCUUUGGGCCUUUGAGUAACUGGGUUAUGUGAUGAUAAGAAUUUAUAGGGCCCCGGAGCUGGAGACUGGGGCGUUGAAUGGAAGUUUGGGAAGGGAAGAGGCCCAGAAAGGAGAAACUAGCAACAAGAUGGAGAGAUGAAGAUUCCGCCAAGUGCGCUCUGGAGACAGGGAGAAGACGCUGACCCAGGUGAUAGUGCCUGGGACCCCUCUCAGAGGGGGAUAGUGGGAUCAGGCCUGGAGGAAGAAGAGGGGUUGUCCAGGCAGGGAGGAAAAAGGUGUUUCAGGUUCAGGUAGCAUCAUGAGCUGGGAGGUGAGAAACUGUGUGGGAUGUGGUGACAAUGACGAGAGCCAGUAUUAUGGGAGUGUUGGAAGUUCUGUGGAGCUCGGAAGAGCCAUGGCUUCCUCAGGAGCCCUUGGAGGCUACACUCAUAUAGCCCUGCAGUGGCUCCCUGUGGCUUUUGGGAAGAAAGAUUCCUUGGAAUGUCAAGUGAAGUCCUGUGCAUUUGCUGCCCUUCUUCUCUACGCCCCGUCCCGGGUCCUCUCUGCUUUCCUUCUCUCUGUACCCUUCCCUAUCUUCCUCUCCCCACCUCCAAAGGCCACAUCUUUGUGGACAGUGAAGUGGUGCCAUGUGUCAGGGCUGGGCAUUUUCAUCAUCAGUAUGAUUUUAUUGGAUAGCACUAGUCUCUAAAGAAGGCCUCUGAGAUGGGCCAGGAGGCUAUAUACUCCUGGAGGCUGUGACCUGAUUAAGACAGCAUGGGGCAGUGGCAGGAGCUCUGGACCUGGAGUUAAGAGACCUGGUGUCUGGUCUGGGGCUCUGCCAUUCACCUGCUAUGUGGUCUGGGGCCAAAUGCUUGACUUCUCUGGGCCUCCAGGGCCUAUAAAAUCAGGUUAUACUGAAGGAUCAUUGUUUUUCUUCCCAUUUUGGUGCCAUAAGUGUUCCUCAGACUGUCAUCAACCCCAAGCUAUGCCAGGUACUCAGUUUCCAGUGGGAACCAGGGCCCUCGGCCAAGCAGCCUGCUGUGGAGGUCAAGGCGGGUGUGGGCCUUCUGUAAUGAGGGCAGGCCUGGAGGGCCGGGGGGAGGUGAGCACAGGCUAAUUGCACUUUCCCGUCUUCAGAGCACUUAGCCCAAUUUGUAAUUAUUUAUUGUUGGUUGUUUACGUGUUUGUGUCUGUCUCCCUGGCCGAGCUCUGGGAGUAUACAGGGUGGUGUGGGGUUUGUUCCUCAGUGUCCUGACCCAGUGCUUGGCACCCAGUAGGUCCCUGAUGACUAGUUCUUUCUGGAAUGAGUAGAAGGCUGCCCUUUCACAUAGGGCACUUGUAUACCAAGAGCUUUGGGAUGUUAUGGAGUGACAGACCCUGGGUGGGCUGUGGAGGAGUCAGAUACGGGACAUCCCACCUCAGAGCCAGGCUCUGGAGCCCCACCCCAGCCACCUCCUUGCCAGGCCCAGAUGAGCCCCAGUUGAUUUGGCUCCUCCAUCUGGACCUUUACCAAUCAGCUCCUAGAGGCCUGUGUCCUUCCCCUUGGGCUCCUGCUCAGUGUCUGUGGGAACUCUGACGCCUUCCUGUCAUAACCAAAUAGUUUAGUAGGGGAAAAGAGUAGGAGAGCAGGGUGCCCCUGCAAAAGGAAGAAACAGAGGAACUCGGAGGCCCCAGUGGGUCUAGAGUGGAAAGAGAUGUGCACCCAAAGCAGGGCAAGGGCUAAGUCAGAGCCCCCAGGCCCCUCUCCCUCACGAUGAGACCCAGGAAUGGAGUGUGGAGGUUCCCCUGGUCCAGGCCUAGGGCCAGCCCAGCUUCUCCAGGGAACCACAACCCAUGCCCGGCUGUGUGGGUGCUGGGCUUAUGCCAGCGGCAUUUUGGCAUGGUUGUCAGGCCUGCUUCUGGGUGGAGAGGAGCAGGAAGAAGGAUUGCACAGGAGGAAACUGUCAGGAGGGCCCCACUUCCUCUGGCUGCUCCAUGCCUCCCAGCGAGGGCCAAGGGGCCACCCAGCUUGGCUUGGUUCCCUGGGAAGUGCCACAUCCUCUCAUCUGCUUCUCUCAGAAGGAAAUGCCAGUCCCAGCAACAGGGCCCCAUGGAGCCCACUCUCUGUGCCACCCACUGUGCCUGGCUCAUGUCCAACCUGGGAGCAUGAUUUCUACAGCCUUUGUUUCUCUGGUCUCAGACAAACUCUGAUGCCUCUCCUUCCUCCUGUCGGCCUUUAAGCCUUCACUCUGGGCCUCAGCCCUCUAUCUGCUCCUCUCUCUGGCAGUCUCUCCAAAGGGCCCCCUCACUUGUGCUUUGAGUGGGGGAGCUAUCACGAGCCACAGUCACCAGGGCAGGGACUUUGUGUUGCUCACAGUUCUGUUGCUGCUGGCACAAUCGGUGUGCCAGAAAUACUUGUUGAAUUAUGCAGUGCAUCCUCUACUAUUUAGCACCAGUUUUUCUUUUCUUUCUUUUUUUUGUUUUUUGUACUGGGGAUUGAACCCAAGGGCACUUAACCACUGAGCCACAUCCCCAGCCUUUUUUUUUUUAAGUUGUUGAUAGACCUUUAUUUUUAUUUCUUUAUAUGCGGCGCUGAGAAUAAAACCUAGUGCCUCACACAUGCCAGGCAAGUGUGCUAUUUGUGAGCUCCAGCCCCACCCCUCCAGCUCUUUUUAAUAUUUUAUUUAGAAACAGUAACUCACUGAGUUGCUUAGUGCCUCACUAAGUUGCUGAGGCUGGCUUUGAACUCACAAUCCUCCUGCCUCAGCCUCUUGAGCCGCUGGGAUUAUAGCGUGUGCCACGACAGCUGGCUAGUACCAGUUUUGAUGGCUGUCUUAUGUGAGAAUCUCUUCCCUCCUUCCCCUCAUUACACAGGGUCUGGGGCCCCAUCCCCCCAGCCCCCCAAGGCUGGAGUCCAGGUUACUGGAGAACCAGCAAUGUUCCCUACUCUGCUUUUUGGCCAUUCAUCCCAGAGAUUCUGAGUCUUCCGGGGGCCUAGCCCUGCGCUGAGUAGUGGGGUAUAUACGAAGGUAAGUAAGACAGGGCUGAGACUGGGGUGCCCUCUCCCCAAUUCCAGGGGGUGAGAAUGAUUCUCACUGCCCCCGAGAACCUCUUUCUGUCCAGCCCCUGCCUCCAGCUGCCCCUGCCUAGCUGGUUCCAGCCUCCUCGACCUUCUUUUCCUGGCUCUGCACAUGGCUAUUUAGGAGGUGUCCCUGUCCCUGGGGCUGCUUUCAGAGAGGAACAAAGAGGGACUGGAAGGCUGGGUGGCUGACAAAGGAGGCCAUGGGAGUGGUAGGGCAUGUGGAGAUGCUUAUUUGUCAGCUCAGAUCGCUCCCCUGAGCUCCAGCUACUGCCUUUAUCUGGUGUGAUAAUAGACCGAAACCAUGUCCUGCUCCCUGCUGAGAGAUCUGCGCACCUGCUAAUGUGACAGCAGCCCAGGAUGGCACUGGGCACUCCUCCAGCUGACAGGUUGGCUAACCACAACCAGUGGAAGCCCCUGGUCUUCAGGCUGCCCACCAUGCAGAGAUGUGCCACUCAUCCAGGGAGGCUCUUAGGACCUAUCUGGAGAACUGAAGCUUCAUCUCUCUAUUCCCAGCCUGGCCACAGUGCCCGGUGACAGUAGGAGUUCAAUGGUUGAACUGUAUGGAUUCAGCACCUGCUUAUUGGGAGCAGCCAGUGUUGUCUCCCCCUCCCCAUCCUUUGAUUUCUUUCCUGUAGCAUCUGUUGGGAUCCCAGGAUGUGGUGAGAUGAGGAGUCUCCAAGACAGCUGGUCUAUGACAGACCAGCCUAAGCCAGCCCUGCUCACUGUCUCUCAAGAAGAAGGAGGCGUCCCUUCCUUCAGCCCUGUCACUCACAUCAGCGCCCAGGCUUAUAAGUGCUCAUGCAUGUCACAGACGUCAUCUUCCCACACUGCCAGGCAGGCCUGGUGCUGUUGCUCUCAUUUUGCAGAGAGGAGCGGUUGCUCCUCCCCCAAGGAGGAGGUGGGGGAUUUACACCCAGAUCUUCUGUUCCACAGUUUGGCACUCAGCCCAGCCCCCGCUCAUGCUAUUUGGGGCUUAAUCCCUGAGAUAGAUAGACUCUGAAUUUCUGUAGGGGAGGGUGGGACGAGAGCUGGGGCUGGCAUGGGCCAAGGAGGGGUGGCAAAAGGUGACAAGGUGAGGAGCAGAGGUGCAGGCUGGAGGCCCAGGCCAAGGAGUGAAGCUGGGCUCAGGUCAGGGUCCCUGCUUGGGCUGCAGGAUGGAGCAGGAGUGCCAAUGGGAAUCUGAUGAUCUCAGCUUCUCUCUGAGGUGCCACAGGCUCCUCUCAAGUGGGCAAACAGUGCUGGGCGAGAUUGGGGACUAAUGACUGUUUUCCAACAGGUGAUUCCUCUACGUGGGGAGCAUCGUCCCAGGUCAUCGUUCUGCAGUCUGCACUUACUGGGGUAAUAGCAGCCUGACUAGGGCCUCCAGCCCUCCUGCUGGCCCCAGGGCCCUGCAAACUGAUGGCAGCAGAGGAGGGAGAGGAAGGCAGGAAUAAACAGAAGCAGCAUGCCCCACCUGUGCCCUGCCCCUCUGUUCCAGGUCACUGCAGGUGUGCGGGGCAGUGUCAGGGCAUCUCCUCUCACAGAAGGACCUCACCCCUGCCAAGGAUCUCUGCAGACACCCGUCCCCCACAAAUGUUGGCCCCUACCUAAGCCCACAUGGACAGCUGGCUGCCCUCUAAGGUCCCUCACCCACCUUUCUCCUGGUACACUGCUUCCCAUCCAUCCUCCAGAAGCUGAAGCAGAAGACAGUGCUCUUGAUGGAGGACAGCUUGGGUAGGAGGCCCUGGGCUUUGAGUCUUCUUGUGGCUUUCUAAAUUCCCAUGACCACUCAUGUUGUUGGAGCUAUUUUAAUUUUGCCACUGAAGAUUCUAGGCUCUGCAUCUUUAAGUGACUUGCCCUGGGUUAUCUAACAUGGUAGGCAGGGUAAUAGCAUCCCAAAGAUGUCCGAGUUCUAAUCAUGGCAAAAGAGACUUUUGUGAUUAAAUGAAGAAACAAGGAUGGAGAGAUUAUUCUGGAUUAUCUGGGUGAAACCAAUGUCAUCACAUGGGUCCCUUAAGUGGGAAAGAAAGAGGCAGAAGACUAAUGGGACAUGAGAAAGGCUCUACUGGCCAAGUGGCUUUGAAGAUGGCAGGGGAGCCGAGGAAUACUGGUAUCUUCACCAGAAAGGGAAUAAAACUGGUAAACGAAUUGUCUUCCAGAAGAAUGCAGCUCAGCUGACACCAUUUCAGACUUCUGACCCCCAGAGCUGUGGUAAUAGACAAACAUAAGAGAAGUAAAUAUGUUUUUAUUUUUUUGGUACUAGGGAUUGAACUCAGGGGCACUUAACCACUGAGCCACGUCCCCAGUCCUUUUUGGUAUUUUAUUUAGAGACAGGGUCUCGCUGAGUUUCUUAAGGCCUCUCUAAGUUGCUGAGGCUGGCUUUGAACUUAAGAUCCUCCUGCCUCAGCUUCCUGAGCUGCUGGGCUUAUAUGCUGAUACCACUGCACCCAGCAACAGAAAUAAAAAGUAAAUAAAAUCAUGUUGUCUUAAGCCACCAAGUUUAUGGUGAUUUAUUACAGCAGCAACAGGAAAUCACGAUCCUAGCUAGUGAGUGAGGAACUGGAACCAGAGGACUGGGCCCCCACCCUGCUCCUUUUGGUCUCCCCUGCCUCACGCCCUGCAGCUUAACAGCUGACUGCCUAUGGGAGAGGACAGAAGAGAAGAUUCCAGACUGAAACAGAGGCUGGGGUUCUGUGGCUGCCCCUCCUUGAAUCCCCAGUCUCCCAUUCCUGUCUGUGCCCAGCUCUGGAGGUCAGAAGUUCCUAGAAACAUGGCUAUAACAGCUCAUCCUGUGGGUGUUCAGGGGAGGCAGGGUCUGAGCUGGCCUUCCGCCUGGAAGGGCUGUAAUGCUAAAACCGACAGGGUUCCCCCAAAGCCCUCUCGACACUGCUGCCUCCCUACUUUGCUUGCCUUCUCCUUCCUGGCUGCU